UUAAACCCUUGCUAUUUUAAAAUGUUUUAGAAUACACCUUAUACUAUGUAUAUAUAAUUAAAGGUUUAAUAUGUAUUAUAUGUAUAAGAAUAGUCAGUCAAUCGCUAGUACACCUCAUUCAUGAAAACAUGCUAUAAAGAGGGUAUAAGGAAGCGGCCUAUAAAAUGGCCGUUGAAUGGGUGUCUACUCUCACCCAUCGAUCUCCUGUGUGGUGGAAGGUCAUUAGCCGAACGGAUUUCAUAGAACAUAACAUCAUUAAAAGUAUAAUGAUAUAAAGUAACCAAACUAUUUUCUAAAAAUCUCAUUCUUAGUUACUUAAGAAAAAUAUGAAUUUGUAUGUUAAUCCAUGAAAUUACACAUCACACUUUAUAAGUCGCUAGUGGAGCAUGUGUGGUUAACUGGCACACUAGUGGGGAACUAAUAAAGAGUGGUAAUGGGUGUCUCGAAAAUUAUCAUUGAUUAAUGGAGCGAGUGUGGUUAACCAGAACAUUAAAGUGAGAUGAUAAAUGACAUCGAGAGUACCAAGCUAAUUUGCAUGAUUAUUCACAUCUCAUCUGUGAUCCUCGACAUCCUAGUCAAAAAAGUGAGAGCAUAAUUGAGAUUAAACAUGUCAUUGAUUAGAUUCUAUGAAUCUUAUAAGACAUAGGAGUUUCAUAAGACUGAAACCGGUAAAAGCCUUACCUACCUAAAAUAUAGUUGGAUUUGAUUACGACAUCCCUCUUCAAAGUUCGAAUCGAAAAUAUGGAUUCUAGCCUUAAUUUAAAUUUAUGGGUUAAUAAUUAAGGGUUAAAAAUUAACUAAAUUGAAUUCUCUUUUCUUCCUUUAUCGAUGUCAAUUCAAGAUAAUAAUGGUCUUCCUUAUCCUUUUGGAAAUGGUUUUCCUCUACCUUCUGAAGAUGAUCUUCCACAUUCUCAUCAAGGUGAAAGUAUGUGUAACAUCCUGACUCCCAGGUAUAAAUUUAAAUAUAUUUAUAUUCAUAAUUGGGGCAACUUGACGAGUUGGAGGCCCCAACUUUUUGAGUAGAGGCCAUGAUGGCCGCAUGAAAUUUAGAACCUACUCGAUGAGUUGGAGGACACAACUCAACGAGUUGGGGCUGAGUGUCAAAACCCUAAUUUUUAGGGUUUGCACCCUAUUUAAAGGACCUUAAGUCCUCUCCCCAGCCUCCCUUAUCACCUUAUCACCCAUAGACAAACCUUAAUCGAGAUAACCUUCCAUUUUGAGUGUGUGUAAGGCUAAAGAGUGUGUGUUUGGUGCAUUUCUUGAAGAAACUCGAAGAUUUAAGAGCUUGGAACGAGAAUGAGUCUAUAGAUCUAACAUCUACUCAGUUGUAGCAACCAUUUGAAGGUAAAAAGCCACUACCUUGAUCUCUUCCUUGUUAGAUCUCUCCAUUAGAGAGUUUAUGGCCAUUUAUAGCUUCUACUUGACUCAUUCUUGGUUUUGAGCAUGCUUUGAAGCUAAGACUUUUGAUCUGGACACUACUAGGCCCCUUAGACCUAAAGACUCAAGCUUUAUCAAGCUUUGGCCAACUUCCAUGCCUUAAAACCCUUGUUGAGCCUUGUUUUGGCAAGUUAGCACCUAAAAGCCAUGCAUGGAUGUAAAGUUUGCAGCUUUACGUAGUAUCUUAGCCCUAGAAGGCUAGAUCUAUAGUUUGGAGCCUUGGUUUCGCUUAAAAGCACUUGAAUUAGAUUUAGUAGAGGAAUUAGCCUAACAUUUUCGAGGGUUGUUAUUAUCAAUUAUUAAUUAAAGAUAAUUGCGAUAUAUGUUAGGCAAUGUCUAGAACGACAGUUCGAGUGCGAGACAUACUUGCUUUACUUACGAGGUGAGUCUUCUUACUAUACUUACCUGAGUGGUAAUUACUAUACGACCGGAGGGUCUUAUCUGUGCUAUUGAUCGGAGGGUCUUAUUUGCUUAUACUGAGAUGUGUGAUAUUAUGCAUUCUGUCUUUGUGAUUUAUGUUGUAUAUUAUUAUGUGCAUUUAUUAAGAUAGGACUGGAGGGUCCAAACCGAGUCGUGAGACCGAAGGGUCUUCACUGAGACACAAGACCGGAGGGUCCAACCCGAGCCGUGAGACCGAAGGGUCUUCACUGAGAUACAUGACUGGAGGGUCCUUAUCAAGAUAUAGCCAUGGGAGGCUAAUUAUUUGUGUGUGGUAUUUUGGGAAACUUACUAAGCUUCAUGCUUAGAGUGUUAUGUGAAAUGUAUUUCAGAUACAUCUUAGGAUCGUGAGAAGGCACCGACAUGAUUGUACACACCAGCUUGUUGAUUUGUGUUUUGAGGAUUCUGGGAUAUUUGAUAAACAAUUUUUAUGUUUUGUGUUUUGGAACAUUAACAAAUUUGGCAAUAGAGAUGUUAAACUAUGCUUUGUGUGGAAUUAAAAAUGAAAAAAAAAUUAUUUGGAUAUUUAGAGUGUUACAAGUUGGUAUCAGAGCCUUGGUUUAAGGGAUUCGGAUGUUCCCUCAGGUAUGUGUGGACUCAAACUGAGGAUUUGAGAAAAUUUUCAGAAAGAAAUGACUUUCUAAAUGAGCAAAAUAUUUUAAGAGGAAACGAGAAGAAGCAGUGUGUACAAUCAGCCAGAGCUCGAACAGUGAUUUCCCAAAAUACCCUUACUUAUUUAUAUUAUGAGAUGAGAUACUCUUGAGAUAUUAGAACUGCAUGCUAGAUGGUAGACUAGGUAUUUCAGGAAUUUAGAGAUAGAGUUUCCUGAUUCAUGAUGUCUUAGCCUAGAAGGAUGUUAUUGAUUAACAUUAUUUGCUAUUUGCUCUGUGUAUGCUGAGUAGGGGUACAUGGCAGGAAAUCUUUAAGAGAAGGAUCUGAGUUGAAGAGUAAUCUAGUAGGGAUACCUAGAUGUUCAUUUUGAGAAAUCUAUUGAGAGAGUAGUUAGAUAUCGUGAGGGAUAAAGUACUUGUGAAUUAGGGUCCUGGGAGGAGGACUUGAGACAACUAAAGGUUGGUGUGGAAGGUAGUAUUGGGCCCGUACAACUAAAAGCACCGGAUCUAUACGCGACCCAAGUAAGAACCUUAGGAUACCAAGGAGCAUGUAGGGGUGAGUAAAUGUGUGUACGCUUUAGCCAACCCCUGAUGAUUUCUGUGUUUGUGUUUCAGAGAGACUAUGGUGAUUACUUGCAGCAACCCCCCACAGGGGGGGGGAGUACUAGUGAUGAGGUGAUCUGCAUGAUCAUUGCUGAGGAGGCGGCCACAACUAUCAGGGAGGGCAUUCCGGAGAUGUUCGGGUUUAUUAAGACCAUGUUGAUUGAGAAUUUUGAUGAGCGUUAUGCUGCUGUCACGGAGGAUGCCGCUGCCGCAACCCUUGCAGCUGCGCGGCCACAGGGGGGAUGAUUCAUUGAUAUUUUGAGAGUUUAGCAACACGAAGUCACUAGAGUUUGACAGGACUCAGGACCCGAUUUCUGCUAGAAGAUGGAUUUAUGAUAUCGAGGGAUGUUUUUAUAGUUGUUCAUGCUUUGAGAGCCUGAAAGUUCGAUUUGCACUGAACUAGCUUCACUUGGGAGCGAAGGACUGGUGGAAGUUUGUGACGACUGAUUAUUCUCCUGCAGAUCAUGCUGUAGUGACUUGUGAGAGAUUCACCUAGUUAUUCCAAGAUGAGUUUGUUCCCCAGGUGUCUACGAAACUAUUAGCCCAUGAGUUUCUGUCUCUCAAGAAAAAGACAGAAAUAGCGACGAAGAUUACGAGGAUGUUUCAUGAAAGGGCAUUGUUCUGCCCUGAGCAUGUGUCUACAGAACAUGCACGUAUGAUCCGGUACUUGAGCAUUUUGAGAUGGGACAUUCGGGAGUUUGUGGUGAACUCAUCAUAUCAUACAUUGACUGAGCUACAGACAUAUGCCAGGAGGAGGGAGAUUGAGUUGGAGAUUCAGACUGGGGUGGAGGGAGAGUCUCAGGGGAGAGACAGCAGACCAGUGCAAUCACAGUCGACGACCAAGCAGGCUAAGCCCGCUGAUACGAGAGCAGGAGGCCAGAAGGGUCGAACUUGUGGCAAGUGCGGUAAGAGUCAUGAGGGAUUUUGUUGAUCAGAGAUUUGUUUCAAAUGCGGAACGUAGGGGCAUAUGGCGAAGGAUUACCCUAAGGGAUUUUCGGUUUGCUUUCAUUACAACCAGACUGGCCACCGAAAGGAUGAGUGUCCUCAGCUCACUCAGGGAUAAGCCCAGACCCCUGCUCCUGCUACCUUGCGUGUCACCUAUGGUCGGCCUGGGAAGGCCGAGGCUCCGAGAGCUCAUGGGAGAGCCUUCUAGUUGACUGCGGAGGAGGUCCGUGCAGUACCUGACGUUGUUGCUGGUACAUUUCAAGAUCGCGGGAAGGCAUCGACAUGAUUGUACACACCAGCUUGUUGAUUUAUGUUUUGAGGAUUCUGGGAUAUUUGACAAAAAAGUUUUAUGUUUUGUGUUUUGGAACAUUAACAAAUUUGGCAUGAGAGAUGUUAAACUAUGUUUUGUGUGGAAUUAUAAAUGAAAAAAAUAUAUUUGAAAAUUUAGAGUGUUACAGUAUGUUCCCUUCUUCGGGGAAUGGUGGAAAUGGAUAUCAUGCUUCUCCAACUCUUCCUCCUCCUCCUCCUCCAAUGACUCUCCCCAUGUCUCGAGUCGAAAGAUAUGAAACUACUCAAGCCCUAUUGGCAUGUAAGCAUCAAGAUGGAAAAUAUCUGUGUGCACAUGUUUUGGAAAUGAAAUCACACAUUGACAAAUUGGAUAGAAUGGGUAUUGUUUUCCCAAGGGAGCAAGCUAUUGUUUUGGUCCUACUUUCACUUUUGAGUCAUAUAGUUAGUUCAUUAAGAACUUUUAUAUGAGCGAUCACAAUGUGACCUUAAUUGAUCUGACACAUAUGUUGAUUGUUGCUGAAGCAGAAAUGCUUAAGAGCACAUGUGACGCAAAAGUGUUUAAAUGAUCUAAUUCCAGAGUUUCCAUGGAUAUUGACAAUUGUGGUCCUGAAAAGAUUUAUCUUUCCAAUGGAAAGGGAUCGGCCAAGGUGAAACCGUUUGAUCGUAUGGUAAAGAGAAAUGCUAUUUCUAAGAUAGUUCCAUGUGCUAAUCCUAAAGAGUUAUUGCCAAUUGAAGGGACAUUGGUUACGAAGUUGCCCAGACUACCUAAAAGAUCUUAAAGUCAAGUCACGUGACUAUGCUUCAGGAUCUAAGGGAAAGAAGGAAGCUUAAGAAGAAUGAACUAAUUCUAAACGUGAGAGAUGGAUUUUAGUCACAUGGUUCGAUGAUCAGAAUUUGGAGCUGCUGCUUAGGAUUAAUGAUAAUUUAAUAGAUUUCUUAGAAAAUGUCUAGAAACAUUGUUUUCAUUUAUGCAGUGUGAGGACAAGUUCCAAAUUUUUGUUUAUUAUCAAUAAAAGUGAAUUUUUGGUUUAUAUAGUUGGUUUAAUUUAUAUUUCCUUGUAAUGGCAUCUAUGAAAGGGUUGGUUACAUUUC